rnacentral:rRNA from 1 species
UACAGAGGUCUCAAGCGUUGUUCGGAUUCAUUGGGCGUAAAGGGUGCGUAGGUGGCGCUGUAAGUCGGGUGUGAAAUUUCGGAGCUUAACUCCGAAACUGCAUUCGAUACUGCGGUGCUUGAGGACUGGAGAGGAGACUGGAAUACAUGGUGUAGCAGUGAAAUGCGUAGAGAUCAUGAGGAAGACCAGUGGCGAAGGCGGGUCUCUGGACAGUUCCUGACACUGAAGCACGAAAGCGUGGGGAGCAAACAGG